rnacentral:rRNA from 1 species
GACGAACGCUGGCGGCGUGCUUAACACAUGCAAGUCGAACGAUGAACUUGGAGCUUGCUCUGGGGGAUUAGUGGCGAACGGGUGAGUAACACGUGAGUAACCUGCCCUGGACUCUGGGAUAACUUCGAGAAAUCGGAGCUAAUACCGGAUAGGACCUUGCACCGCAUGGUGUGGGGUGGAAAGUUUUUCGGUUUGGGAUGGACUCGCGGCCUAUCAGCUUGUUGGUGAGGUAAUGGCUCACCAAGGCGUCGACGGGUAGCCGGCCUGAGAGGGUGACCGGCCACAAUGGGACUGAGACACGGCCCAGACUCCUACGGGAGGCAGCAGUGGGGAAUAUUGCACAAUGGGCGCAAGCCUGAUGCAGCAACGCCGCGUGCGGGAUGACGGCCUUCGGGUUGUAAACCGCUUUUAGUAGGGACGAAGCGAAAGUGACGGUACCUGCAGAAAAAGGACCGGCUAGCUACGUGCCAGCAGCCGCGGUAACAC